GUACGGAAGGCAGCAGUGGGGAAUCUUGCGCAAUGGGCGAAAGCCUGACGCAGCGACGCCGCGUGGGGGAAGAAGGCUUUCGGGUUGUAAACCCCUUUCAGGAAGGACGAAGCUACUCGGGUGAAUAGCCCAGAGGGUGACGGUACUUCCAGAAGAAGCCCCGGCUAACUACGUGCCAGCAGCCGCGGUAAUACGUAGGGGGCAAGCGUUGUCCGGAUUUAUUGGGCGUAAAGAGCGUGUAGGCGGUUUGGUAGGUCCGCUGUGAAAACUCGAGGCUCAACCUCGAGACGCCGGUGGAAACCAUCAGGCUAGAGUCCGGAAGAGGAGAGUGGAAUUCCUGGUGUAGCGGUGAAAUGCGCAGAUAUCAGGAAGAACACCCGUGGCUAAGGCGGCUCUCUAGUACGGUACUGACGCUGAGACGCGAAAGCGUGGGGAGCGAACAGGAUUAGAUACCCUGGUAGU
rnacentral:rRNA from 1 species